rnacentral:rRNA from 1 species
GAUGAACGCUGGCGGCGUGCCUAAUACAUGCAAGUCGAGCGAAUGGAUUAAGAGCUUGCUCUUAUGAAGUUAGCGGCGGACGGGUGAGUAACACGUGGGUAACCUGCCCAUAAGACUGGGAUAACUCCGGGAAACCGGGGCUAAUACCGGAUAACAUUUUGAACCGCAUGGUUCGAAAUUGAAAGGCGGCUUCGGCUGGCACUUAUGGAUGGACCCGCGUCGCAUUAGCUAGUUGGUGAGGUAACGGCUCACCAAGGCAACGAUGCGUAGCCGACCUGAGAGGGUGAUCGGCCACACUGGGACUGAGACACGGCCCAGACUCCUACGGGAGGCAGCAGUAGGGAACCUUCCGCAAUGGACGAAAGUCUGACGGAGCAACGCCGCGUGAGUGAUGAAGGCUUUCGGGUCGUAAAACUCUGUUGUUAGGGAAGAACAAGUGCUAGUUGAAUAAGCUGGCACCUUGAUGGUACCUAACCAGAAAGCCACGGCUAACUACGUGCCAGCAGCCGCCGUAA